ACACUGAGGUAUUGGGAGAACCUGCCCAGGUGAUACAGGUAGUAUGUGGCGGUUGGGGGAUGUGAACUUGAGCUCCUGACCAACUCUGCUGCAUGGGCUGACAACUCCGGCUUCUCCGGGAGAGGGGCAGGGGCUGAGGUGGGGCUUUUUUGUUUUUGUUUUUGGCCUUUCUGAGUCCUCUGUGCUUUCUUCCCAGGUGCAUAGAUGACUUACUUUCAGAAAAUGUCAACAGGGUGCUCUGCAGAGGGGCAUGGGCUUUUAUGCCUUUAUUAUGCUUUUCUGUAUUAAAAGAAAAAUACAGUCAUGUGAUUUUAGAAACUCAACCCAUGGAAGAGAGAAUACUGGGUCUGUAGGAAAUCUGCAAAGUGGGAAAGAUACUUCUGGGCUUGGUGGUGGCACCUUGGAGCCUGCUUACGGAAAUCACCUCUCGUUCCCGUGAUGCUGAAAGCAGAAUGCUGGACAUGGAAGAACCGCGGUACUCGAGCUUCGUCUGCUGCCCCACACCCCACUGGCUGUUGCAAGAGUGACGUUGCCAUUGGUGACUGCAGGUCUCCCAGCAGCCUGGUGCAGAGAGGCCA
rnacentral:lncRNA from 1 species